GCUCUAACUUAACCAAGAUAAGUAAAUAAGUGUAAAUAGGAAAGAUGGUAGAAUCGAAUAAGAACAAUAUUAAAGGUAAGAUAACAGUGAGUGAUAAUAUGGGAAUAGAGAAUAGAGCAAUUCUAGUAUAUGGGCGAUGGUAGCAAUAGAGAAUAUAACUAUGGUUUCUCUACUUCAAAGGGGUUUGUCUAUGUUUGGGACGAACCACGAGAUAAGAUUACACCACAAAGGAUGCUUAUCCAUAGGCCGAUAAAACCUACCCAUCCUCCUAACGAGAAGUGGACUACAGAGGACCAACGUAACUGUCACCUACGCGGCCUACCACACGAUCCAGCUAGACAGGGGAUAUCCACAAGUAAUCUAGAUCUAAGCGCCUCGCUUACACCUAUACUACAACUCUCACCUAUAGCAUCCUAUAGAUUAAAGUACUCAAAAGAGUUGUGAACCAGAACAUACAUAAUUAGUAAUUGCAUAAUGAGUUAGAAGCAGAUUACAAGAGUCAUCCCAUGAGCAAGCUUGAUUAGAGCUUGAUCAUGACAAAGUACAACCGGAGGAAGAACCGACAGGCCGGCCUCUCCUCUAAUCCUCCUUCGCUCUCCAUCUUGCUACUAUCUAGAUCUACUCAAGUUUAGAGAAGAGAGGAGAGCUCUCAUCUCUAAUCCCUAACUUUUGCUCUGUCUAUGAAUAAUGAAUAAUGAUCAAGGGGUGCCUCCUCCAGGGGCCAGGGGGUCUGGUUAUAUAGUCCCCUCAAGUGAACCUUGGUCGUCGGAUCAAACCGACGUUGAUUGAACGGUUAUCCUUGAUCCUUUAGGUCGCCCUGCCCCCGGGCCCGUUCGCCUUCCCGUUCAUUCCCGCGGCUUCUGGAGUCUUCUAGAUGUAAGAUAAUUGUGCGGCACGUUAAUAUCUCUAUGUAAUCCCGACGUGUGGGCCUUUCUUCCGUAUUUCCUGAUAACCCCCUGCAGAAAUAGACAAACACCAAAACUCGUGGAAUUCUGUCAGAUAAAACCCUAAGUUUAGAUGUUGGUUGUAUUUGGAUCCUUUUCUUUAUUUAUUUGAUAAUUAAAUUUGAUACUUAAGGACCGUCAACAAACUCCCCCAAGCUUACCUCUUGCUCGUCCCUGAGCAAGGAUAGACUCAGCAAUGGAUCAGAAGUUGUUGCAAUAUCUUAAAAAUUUGACGGUACACAUGCUUUUAAAUAAGAUCUCAUCUCUGAGUUAGAGUAAACUAUCAAGAACUAAAACUUACUUACUUUACCUUUCACCAUGGGACUUGUAACCGUCACUUCUGUCUUGAGUAGUUAAAAGAUAGAACAGUCUAGCCAAGUGUCAUGUCUCUUAUUCUUGAUCAGCUAUAGCUCUGGAGUUUUUUGCAGAUUUUCAAAUAAAACUCAGAGAUUCCUUGUAUGACUCUCUAAAUCUCUCUUUUGUGGUAUUUCUGGAUCCUUACCAAGGCAGUGAUGGUAUAUGCCUUCUCUCAAGAUAUGUGGUAUUUGUGGUAUAAGGCAUAGUGACAUUGCCUUCUCUCUCACCCUACUCUAAUAAGGCUUUAAUAUCUGGAGCUCAUAGGUGGGAGAUAAAGUAUACAUACUUACAAGACAUUUAUUGUAUAGUCAAACCAUGGAUCCAAAGAAACAAAUCAAUAAGCCAAAUCAAGAUGUGCAUGUGUGGCGAAUGAAUGGUGUAUGGUGAUGAUGGUGAUAACAAUGGUGAAAGUCUAAUUCUACUUUUGCUCUUUUGAGGGGAUACGUACCUUCCUUGCUUUUUGAAACUUUAUGAGGAGAAUGAAAUGCUCUUCUUUUUUCUUUCCUCUCAGGUGGGUAUCUUGUACCCCUAAUUCUACUAUCGGACACUUGUCCAUUUUUACCUCUCGUCUCACUCUUUUUUUUUCUUUCGAGGUUCCGGGCACUUGCCCCUUUUUAUUUCCUCAUUUAUUUUUUUUCUUUUCUCUCUCUCUUUUUUUUCAGAGCACUCGUCUCUUGAGAUAAUAUAGCAAGUGGUAGUAGCAAGAUAACUUGAGCAUUUAUUUCACAAGGGAAAACAGAAAUAUUUUUGGCUAUUCUCUCCCGAAUUAGGAGUAGAAUAUUUUUGGGUGGUUCUGGAAAUGGACAUGGAUGGAUAUAUGUGGAUGGUACUUCCGGAGUAGAAGUAGCAUAUAUGAGUGAACGUGCAAGUGAAUCUUGAUUUAACCACAUGACAAGCUCCUAAGGGUCUACACAGCUUGACCACACUCAAUGCUCAUAAGCAGUAAAUAAUAAAUGUGUGGCUCAAAGUCUAGCAAGCAUGUAUAUAUAUGGCUGUGGUAGGAAUUUAAACUCUCAUCAUACAGGAACUCAUCAUGCAAUAUUUUAAAGAUUUUUCAAAGAUAAAAUUCUCCAGAAUUCUAGCAUCUCUAGGAACAGAUAAACAGCAGCUCAACCUUCCCAUAUCAUAUCCGUUAACAACUUAGAUUUCAGAUCAAGUUUUUAUCCCACAAAUUUAGAUCUAGAGCAAGCUUUAAAUUAUAAUAGUUAUGUCUAAACUUGAGAGAGAACUUCAAAUUUGCAAAUUAGGCAGAGCAACUAUUCAUCAUAUCCAUGCUAGAGUUUUAUUAUUAAGAUUCAGAUUAGCAUUGCCACUUUAUUUAAUUUAUCAAACACACUAAGCAAAAGAUAUAUACAAGCACAAAAUCUUUAUUUGGUUUUUCAUAGUUUAUGUAUUUUAAUAUUCUAAUAUAAUAUAAGUAUAAAGAUAGGUAGAAAUACUUAGCGAGAUAAAUGGGGGUGCUCUCCCCCAAGCUGAAUUUUGACGUAAUUUCUCUUGAUGUAGCUAGCAGGUGGCAGAGGUGUAUUUGAAAAUCAGCAGCAUUCUGACAGCGAUUAGAAUGUCUUCCGUCUGCUAGUCUUCUUGAUUCUUAAAUUUUGUGGAGCUCAAAUAGACAACAAAGCUUGUGGAACUAAUUAAGUGUUAGCAUAAAUAUCUAGCCUUCAUCAUGUUGAGCUUCCUCAAUAAAUAUUACUCCCUGUUUUUAUAUUUUUAUUUUAUAAAGGAGAAAAGAAAUAUUUAUUUUAUUUUUAUGCCACCACAGUGAAGGUACUUAUGGGUUUUAUGCCACUCGUAUACUCACAUGGGGCUUAGUAUUUUUUAACAUUUUUAUUUUUUUUCAAGAUAGCAUGAUUAACUAAUAAUCUAUUUAAGGAAAGUAAAUAAUUAAAGAGAAAAGGGAAUGCAGAAAGGAUAAAUAUGGAUAACUACUGAUGUUACCUUUCGGCAAGGGUUCAAUGUUUUAAGUCUUCUUAACAAGACUUCUCACCGUGUUCAUUCUUUAGGUGCGUCAUUUGAUUCAGGUGCGGACCUUGACGUCUACACCUCUUGAUACGGUGUCACCCAUGUUCUUCGUUUGUCCAGCAGUUCGAAGUGCGGCGUUGGCAGUAACCUGCUCAGUGUGUUUGUGCUCGUAGAUCCAGGUCCUUCACUUGGUAGAGUCUGAUAGUUAUAAAACUCCUCCGUGUUUUGCUCAAAGUGUACCUGCUCAUAGAGACAAGGCAGAGAUCAAGUGCAUGGGUCCUGUCGGUGAAAACACCAACAGAACCUAAAGUGUAUUUGUUCUUCUCUAACCCUAAGCAUAGUGAGCAAGACAAAGUUGAUGGAUGAAAAGUUCAUGAGUGUAGCACUUAUAACAUUUGUCAGAUCAGAUCGCUCAACCUUAUGGAAAUAUAAUCUAUCUAUGUAUAUGUCUUUUUCUUUAUAUCUCUCAAUGAUUGAAUGUGUAACAUUUUAGCUCAUAUGAUUAGGAGUGUGGGAUCAUGGAGGUAGUACUAAGAACAAGGAUUAAAGGACUAAACAUGUUGAAUCAGUUGGGUUGGUUAAUCUAGAGUUGUAAAUCAUACAUGUUUGUCUCUUUUAUUUAUAUGAACGCCAGAACCAAGGAGAAGCUUAUAAAAGUGAUAGACAAGUACCUUAAUAUGUUACCUUGCUUAAAGAGUGAUGGUACAGUAUCACCUUGUGGAAGCUUUCCUUUCUUAGCGGUUGUGCAUCAUGUUUGUGCCACCCUCCAUGGAUCAUCUUUCUAUGAUGAAUGAGCUAUGUCCUUCUUGUGCAAAUUGUUAAACUUCAUGUGUCACUCUCUUCGUCUCUGAUGUGAGUUUAUCUUAGGACUUCCCAAAUCGAUAUUGAAAGUUUUUCUGCAGGGGUUAGUCCGACAAAAAUAUACCAAUGUCUACACAAGCAGUUUUUAGUUCAAUAACCGAACUAGACUCCAUAUUUAAUCAGAUUAAGGAAGGCUGUUUAACCUAAGCACCAUGCUUAAUUUGAAAGCCAAAAGAAGUAUGUGCAGUACUUCCAAACUAACACUUACUAGUAAAUAGACAAAGGUAGCAUGACAGCAUUUAUAGAGAUCUACUCAAGUGGAGAUGAAGUAGUGUGAUUAGUAUUUAACAAAUUGAGCAUGUCUUAAAGGUAGGGACAACCAACAUAGCAACAUGGCAAAGAAUGUUUUUAUGUAAAGUACUCCCCCA
rnacentral:lncRNA from 1 species